rnacentral:rRNA from 1 species
GACGAACGCUGGCGGCGUGCUUAACACAUGCAAGUCGAACGGAAAGGCCCUGCUUUUGUGGGGUGCUCGAGUGGCGAACGCGUGAGUAACACGUGAGUAACCUGCCCUUGACUUUGGGAUAACUUCAGGAAACUGGGGCUAAUACCGGAUAGGAGCUCCUGCUGCAUGGUGGGGGUUGGAAAGUUUCGGCGGUUGGGGAUGGACUCGCGGCUUAUCAGCUUGUUGGUGGGGUAGUGGCUUACCAAGGAUUUGACGGGUAGCCGGCCUGAGAGGGUGACCGGCCACAUUGGGACUGAGAUACGGCCCAGACUCCUACGGGAGGCAGCAGUGGGGAAUAUUGCACAAUGGGCGGAAGCCUGAUGCAGCAACGCCGCGUGCGGGAUGACGGCCUUCGGGUUGUAAACCGCUUUCGCCUGUGACGAAGCGUGAGUGACGGUAAUGGGUAAAGAAGCAACGGCUAACUACGUG